AGGGAGGAGGGGAGGGAGUGGGGGGCGCAGGGCCUGCGGGGGGCCUGGGGGAAAGGCUGGGCACAGGCUGUCCCCCUCCGCCCUUAGUUGUAGCUGGCCAGUGCCUCUGUCCCUCUAGGGCAGGCAGGGCAGGUGGCAGUCCAACAGGAAGAGCUUCUCCAAGGCAGGUCCACCACAACACACAGAAAUUGGCAUCAGUUGAAUUGCUGCCUGCCUUGGAGGGAGAGGAGGAGGAGCUGUUACAGCUGUAUCCACUACAACCCACUCCGUGGUCUGGAAUUAAAUCCACUUGUGGUGCAACUGUGACAUGGUGCCGUUGUGAAAUUAAUGGAGUUGCCUUUUACUCUAUCUGUACAUAUGAAGAGUGAAGUUGCAUAAUGACCAGGUGGAGAGGACAUUGCCCUGCCCUUUCCAGGAAAUGUAUGACAGAAACUCUUAUUUUAGCCCAAUGGUUGCAGUAACAGAUGGAUGUUCAACUGAUGUAGCUUUUCCGGGCUGAAGAUGCAUGCAAUAGACACUGCUGGACCUCUACCUGCUGCAGCAUAGGAUCCUGCCAUAAAAGGGCAGGAAAAUGGCCAGGAAGGAAAAGCUCCAAGCACCUCUUCCAGCUGCUGUUUCAGGGCCUUUUGAAAAGAAAAUUCAGGACUGCACAAUGAUAGCAGGAGGAAGAUUCGGUUCAAUCCAAGAUUCAGACCAGCUGUUGGAAGAACCGUGGAAGUGAGGGCGUUUUGUGUAUCUCCCUUCUCUCUUCCUUGUGGCUUCUGACACAGAGGCUGACUCCACAUCUGAGUGACUGCACCAUACAAUCCAGGAAGUACCAAAAAAGCUUAUGAGGGCUUCCAGUAUUGCUAUUUAUUCUGUACACUUCAUAUCUUGCUGCCUACAAACCAUGAGAAAAAGUGUUGGGAGGGUCAUCACGGCGAGAAAACAAAUUUAGCUCCUAUUGCACUGUUGUUCUCAUCUUUAGAACUUGCAUCAGUACAGGAGAUAGUUUCUGGUAUACUCUGUUUAAUUUGCCUUACACCAUAUUGCCUUGUUCCCAUCUUCCAUUUGGAAAUAAAAAUUUAGGUGACCUUCUGAAACCAUCAAACCUAUUUAUUUGGCUACCAAAAUGGCACAGCUGCUUUCUUGCUACAGCUAAGGACUCCCGUGAAGCUUAGAAAGCAUUAAUUGAACAGACCCUCAAGCGAGAAAAAUGGAGAGGGCAAGCCCAUUGCAUGAAGGGCCAUUAUUUUUAGAUUUGCAGUUUCCAGUUAGAAGUGUUCUGUAGGCUAUUUAGAGCUGGUCCCAGCUCAAUGUAAGUUGGCUUCCAAUUAGAGCUGUGUGUAACUGAAGUUUGUGGCAGAAGUAUGUAGGUGUGUGGAGAACACAUCCUAGGGCCUCUUUUUAAAUUGGAAAUGGUGAACAACACCUCCUUCUAAUUGACUGUGAUAUAUUGUAUUUAUCCAAAUAGAAAAUGACUCUGAAUUUUGACAACCCUCUUUAAAAAUGCAGGUUAAAUACAGGUUAAACCCGUAUUUAACCAAAAGGAAGAGAACUCUGUAUUUAAGAUCUCCUCAAUGUCUAACACGGAAGAACUUGCGGGGAAACAAGUAUUGGAUUCAGCUAAAUCUGGUAGAUAAGCAAAACGAAUGUUUAGCCGUGCCACAGCUACUCACAAUUUUUAAAAAUGAGUUUGCGGAGCACUUGCUCCGCAAACCCAGUUUUAGGGGAGGGGUAUUUAGGCGGGUUAACUGCUCGGGAGCCACUGGGCUCGCUUGUGAGCCUGGUGGCUCCCACAAUCAGCCAAAAUUGGGCUAGGCUCCCCUAGCCCGAUUUUGGCUGAUCAUGGGAAUAGUCCCACUGACUGGCAGAGGCUUCUCCAAGGUUGCAGACAGGAGUCUUUCCCAGCCCUACCUGGAGAUGCUGCAGGGAUUUAUCCUGGGAGCUUCUGCAUGCAAAGCAGAAGCUCUACCACUGAGCCAUGGUCCCAUCCUCACAAACAAGAUGGAGCAUUUUAUUUUUCUCCAUGGAAGUGAAUGACAACUCUUCACUUCCGAUGGGAUACAAACUGAAUGGAUGUACCUGUGCAGGGGACACCAUUGUGCUGGGCUUCAGCCUCCUCCUGCUCCCAAAGACCCUCCUGUUGGGAAAUAAACCUGCUCCAAUUCUAUUAGUCAAUCUAGAUAUGUAAAACUCAGUUUGCAAGAUUUGGUCACACUUUAGUGUGACCAAGAAACAGAACCCUGGGGCUAUGCAUAUGAAGAGGCAUAGCUCUGCCUCAUGAAUGGCAUAUCCCCUAGGUUUCGUCUUGUGGUCUUGUUAAAGUGUGAUGAGAUCUUGCAAACUGAGUUUUACAUUUCUAGACUGAUAUAUUAUCACAAAUGAAUGAGGGAAUGGCAUUCUUGUUUUAUCUCCCUCCUCUCUGGUAGCAUUGUGCAUUAAGCAUAAGAAGCUCUGGUGAUCUAGCAGUAUUAUUUUCUAGAUGGAUGCUGGACCAUCAAUUUUGCACAAGAUGGAUGUAAGGCUUAAGUUGAUCAGUGAUGCUUACCCUGUUUAAACAGAUUUUGCAGCUGGGCUAAGGGACAGUAAAUCCUAAAACAAUUAAGCUGAUCACACACCAUACUGAAAUGACUUUAAAAGGGCAGCAAUAUUUUUGUUUAUGACAUUUCAAUCUUGUCUACAACAAAUUAUUUUGUCCACAGGAAAUUCAUUUUGGGAAAGAUUAAGUGUGUUUUGUCAAGAGAAAGACAUUAGGUGCCUAGCACGCAUGCUGUUGGAAUGAUUGUUUUAAAAGCUUCUCCGUGUUCAUUCAUUCUGCGCCCUAUAAGUUACUCCAGAGAAAUUGAACAGUUUUGUGAAUGAAGUGCUGACAUGGACCCUGGGGGGCCACUGAUGCUUAAUCCUUAGCUCUUUACUCCUCCUUAAUAGAAAGGUACACAAACCUGCCCUCACCUUUCAUUCUGUUGAGACUCCAGUUUCAUGCUGAUGUUUAUUAUAGCAAGUCAGCCCUCGGCAAGGCAAAUGUUUCACCUUCAUUUCUGCAUGGCACCACAUCCCCUCAACACUCUCUUGUGCUUUAGGUAUGGGCAGACCUGCUGGUUGGGACCCUGCUCAGUUUUGACAGGGAGUGGAAUGCUUUUCUUCCUCCCUUCCUGAGCGCUUCAGUGGAUUGCAGAAACUGGAAUUCCACAGUUCACUCCAGUCCAGCAAGGGGGAGGUAGUAAAGACACAUCCGCACUAUUCACAGCAACAAAUAUUUAUAUACCACUUUUCAACAAAAAUUCCCAAAGUGGUUUGCAUAGAGAAAUAAAACAACAAACAAAGAUGGCUCACAAUCUAAAGUGAGAGACAAGAGAGUCACCAGCAACAGUAACUGGAAGUACUAUGCUGGAGGUGGAUAGGGCCAGUUAUUCUCCCACUGCUAAACAAAGAGAGUUAAAAGUAAAGGUGUGCUGUUGAGUCAGUGUCGACUCCUGGCGACCACAGAGUCCUGUGGUUUUCUUUGGUAGAAUACAGGAAAGGUUUACUAUUGCCAUCUUUUGCACAGUAUGAGAUGAUGCCUUUCAGCAUCUUCCUAUAUUUCUGCUGCCUGAUAGAGGUGUUCCCCAUAUUCUGGGAAACAUACCAGCAGGAAUUCGAAUCGGCAACCUCUUGCUCCCUAGGCAAGAUACUUCCCUGAGAUGAUGCCUGAAAGGCAACAUCUCACCAUUAGGUGGCAAAAUAAAGAUAACUUCUACAACAGUCAGGUGAGAGCCGCAAGUGGAGAAAGCCUUGAACUUCCCGGCAGCAGGUGGGAAUUUCAUGAUGGCCCAGAAAAUGAGUAUGUAGGAGAUGAUACUGAGAACAGAUGGGCCAAGAAUAUCUAGCAUAUCUUCUGUCUGCACCAGAGUCUGGAUGAGCUUGGUGUCAGAGCUGGAGAGCUCCAGAAGUGGGGUAGACAUUACAGAAGAGGCAGAGGACCUCCCAAGCAGCACAGAAAGGAAGGUGUGAUGUCAGAAGUGUGGAGAGCAAGGAGUGGAGAGCAGAAAAGAGCCAGGACCCAGACACCAGGAAAAAGGCAGCACUUGCAUUUAAUCACCAUGGUGCCAUGCAAUGGCUGGCAGAGGGCCAUGCAGGCCAGGAGGAAGCUAUCUGUGCUGCCAAAGGCCAAGAAGAAAUACAUCUGCACAUAUUCUGGGUCCAAUUCAAAGUGCUGGUUCUCACCCACAAAACCCUUAUGGGCUUAACACCUGUAUAUCUCUGGGACCUCCUCUCUCGGCCAGUUGUAUCCCGUCCUGUGAGAUCUUCUCAGCUAGCCCUCCUUAGUGUCCCAGGCACUACGUGUCAUGGGCCCAGACACCAUGCACUACCAGGAGGAGGAGGAGGAGGGCCUUCUCUGUGGCCACCCUUCUUAAUCAGUGAACCCUAAAAUCUGCGGAGAUAUUCAAAUGCUGAGAAUGUUGGAAGCAUCUCCACUGUAAAGUCCAUUGUUCACUGGGGAAAUAUCCAUAUGUGUUGGUGCAAAAAUGGUUCCAUCUAGACUGAGUGUCAAAUAGCAACUGUUUCAUAUGGAUUGCUCUAAAAUUGUAGCUCCAUAGAACUAUCCAUAGAGGGAUGCAUUUCAGUUUGCAUCAAACUCUCAACUGGCUUUAAUUAUGUGAUAAACGCCCCAGUCAAAGGCAUACACAAUGAUGAUUCAGAGACAAUAAAAUAUUUAUAGCUAAUUUUAUGUAAGCCCAAACAAAUUGCAUUCAAUAAACAAAGAAAUAUAGGCCAGAAAAAUAAAAAUGAUUUAAUACAUUGUUAUGGAUUCCUUUUUAAUAUGCAAUGAUGAACAUAAAUUUGGUUAACUUUUACGUAUCUGAUUUGAAACACAGUAAACAUUUAUGCUUUGUGACAGUGCAAUGGAUUCUGUAGCUAUUCUUACAUACAAGUGAAUCUCUCUUCUGAUUGCCACAGAUAUAACACUCUGUUGAGCAGAUCUAAUGUUAAAACUACCAUUCUGAACUAUGAUGUAAGGAAUCAAACAUAUUCAAACACCUUGUAACGGACCUGGCAUGGGGCUGGCCAUAUGGAAAAGAGGUACAAUCGAUUAUUGGGGACAUGUGGAAUGCUUUCUCUUCCGCUUUGAGAAAUGUUGCUAGUAUUUGAGAAAUAUUUUUUGGUCUCCAUGAAACUCCUUGUAAUGUUUCACCUGAGGAGGGAAACCUUCAGAUUUGCUGAAGGAUUAUAUUCUGUCUCCCACCAUGGUAGAGAUUUUGGGGGCGAGGGAGGGAUAUGAUAAUGAUAUGACAAUAUUUAUUUUUUCCAGCAUUUUCUGGGAACCACAAUCUGGGGUGUCUAUUACACCUCUAAAAGAAGCAGAAGAAUACCUUGUGGAAUAAAACAGCACAAAACUCUUUGAGAGGUUUUUUUGGUGGGGAUCCUUCACAUCGAUCUGGGGCAGAGGAACCCUGCAGGCGUCACACAGCUAAUAUGAAGCAAAACAAGAUGUAUUGGGGUAGUGUGUAUGUGUGUGCAAUGCAAAACAUAAAGUAAGCUCAUAGACAAAGGUGAUAGCCCAUUAGGAGUAUGUUAGGAAUGAGGAACCUCGACCAGAGCCAAUCACCAAGCUCAUAAACAAGCUGUACCAUAUUUGAAUAAGGGUUGUGAUAAGGGAAAGAGGGAUACAAACAUAAGGAGAAUUAGUGUAAUGGUCACCAGUUCUUAGGAGCCUUGAGUGAGUUCCUAAGGACUGGUCACCUCCGGCUAGCUUGAGAAGCAGUUUGAUUUACUUUGUGGAUGUCUGUAACGGGAAUCUUAGCUGAGAAAAAUAAACUUGGUGUGCAUUUG